rnacentral:rRNA from 1 species
CCUACGGGAGGCAGCAGUGAGGAAUAUUGGUCAAUGGACGAGAGUCUGAACCAGCCAAGUAGCGUGAAGGAUGACUGCCCUAUGGGUUGUAAACUUCUUUUAUAUGGGAAUAAAACGUUCCACGUGUGGGAUUUUGUAUGUACCCUAUGAAUAAGGAUCGGCUAACUCCGUGCCAGCAGCCGCGGUAAUACGGAGGAUCCGAGCGUUAUCCGGAUUUAUUGGGUUUAAAGGGAGCGUAGGUGGAUUGUUAAGUCAGUUGUGAAAGUUUGCGGCUCAACCGUAAAAUUGCAGUUGAAACUGGCAGUCUUGAGUACAGUAGAGGUGGGCGGAAUUCGGGGUGUAGCGGUGAAAUGCUUAGAUAUCACGAAGAACUCCGAUUGCGAAGGCAGUUCACUGGACUGCAACUGACACUGAGGCUCGAAAGUGUGGGUAUCAAACAGGAUUAGAUACCCUUGUAGUC